AAACUCAAAUGAAUUGACGGGGAGCACCACAACGGGUGGAGCUUGCGGUUAAUUGGAUUCAACGCCGGAAAUCUUACCGGGACCGACAGCGAUAUGAAGGCCAGGCUGAAGACUUUGCCGGAUUAGCUGAGAGGUGGUGCAUGGCCGUCGCCAGUUCGUACUGCGAAGCAUCCUGUUAAGUCAGGCAACGAGCGAGACCCACGCCCACAGUUGCCAGCGUACUCUCCGGAGUGACGGGUACACUGUGGGGACCGCCGCUGCUAAAGCGGAGGAAGGAAUGGGCAACGGUAGGUCAGUAUGCCCCGAAUAUCCCGGGCUACACGCGAGCUACAAUGGUUGGUACAAUGGGUAUCUACCCCGAAAGGGGAUGGAAAUCUCCUAAAGCCAAUCUUAGUCCGGAUUGAGGGCUGCAACUCGCCCUCAUGAAGCUGGAAUCCGUAGUAAUCGCGUUUCAACAGAACGCGGUGAAUACGUCCCUGCUCCUU
rnacentral:rRNA from 1 species